GACGAACGCUGGCGGCGUGCUUAACACAUGCAAGUCGAACGGAAAGGCCCUGCUUUUGUGGGGUGCUCGAGUGGCGAACGGGUGAGUAACACGUGAGUAACCUGCCCUUGACUUUGGGAUAACUUCAGGAAACUGGGGCUAAUACCGGAUAGGAGCUCCUGCUGCAUGGUGGGGGUUGGAAAGUUUCGGCGGUUGGGGAUGGACUCGCGGCUUAUCAGCUUGUUGGUGGGGUAGUGGCUUACCAAGGCUUUGACGGGUAGCCGGCCUGAGAGGGUGACCGGCCACAUUGGGACUGAGAUACGGCCCAGACUCCUACGGGAGGCAGCAGUGGGGAAUAUUGCACAAUGGGCGGAAGCCUGACGCAGCAACGCCGCGUGCGGGAUGACGGCCUUCGGGUUGUAAACCGCUUUCGCCUGUGACGAAGCGUGAGUGACGGUAAUGGGUAAAGAAGCACCGGCUAGCUACGUG
rnacentral:rRNA from 1 species